GUAGGUGAACCUGCGGAGGGAUCAUUACCAAAUCCCACUUUUGCCAACCAACCAUGUGAACUUGUAAUUGUCUCUCCGGGAGACCAAAAAAACACGGAAGCAAUGCAACUGGGGUUUAUUUCCGCGUGAUUUAAUCCCCUCGCUGCCGCUUACUUCUUCACUGUUUUUUGACCAUCUCCCGGCCCGGACUUUUCAUCUUCGGGUGAAUUGUUUCGGAAUUGUAUCAAAAAACCCGAAAAAUAUCUAUCUC
rnacentral:misc_RNA from 1 species